UACGUAGGGGGCUAGCGUUGUCCGGAUUUAUUGGGCGUAAAGAGCGUGUAGGCGGCCAGGUAGGUCUGCUGUGAAAACUCGAGGCUCAACCUCGAGACGUCGGCGGAAACCAUCUGGCUAGAGUCCGGAAGAGGAGAGUGGAAUUCCUGGUGUAGCGGUGAAAUGCGUAGAUAUCUGGAGGAACACCGGUGGCGAAGGCGGCAUCCUGGACCGACACUGACACUGAGGAGCGAAAGCCAGGGGAGCAAACGGG
rnacentral:rRNA from 1 species